AAGCAUGGUGGGCAAUGAUAUUGUGCUCCGUUUUUGUGGGGCAUCAGUGCAGCCGUACCGUGCAAGAGAAACAUCUACAGGAGACAUCAGGGCAACCAGUUGUGAAGUACAGACUGAGUUGUAGUAUACGUCUCCUACAGUG